CCUACGGGGGGCAGCAGUGGGGAAUAUUGCGCAAUGGGGGCAACCCUGACGCAGCAACGCCGCGUGCAGGAAGAAGGUCUUCGGAUUGUAAACUGUUGUCGCAGGGGAAGAAGACAGUGACGGUACCCUGUGAGAAAGUCACGGCUAACUACGUGCCAGCAGCCGCGGUAAUACGUAGGUGACAAGCGUUGUCCGGAUUUAUUGGGUUUAAAGGGUGCGCAGGCGGGAGAUCAAGUCAGCGGUAAAAUGUCGGGGCUCAACCCCGGCCGGCCGGUGAAACUGGUUUUCUAGAGUUGGAGAGAAGG
rnacentral:rRNA from 1 species